GUGGAAGACUCAGCUACUAAAACAGAAGAGAAGGCUGUAGGAGGGAGCCUUCAUCCUCCUGCACAACACAUCACUCUAACUGAGAACUCAGACUGUAAGCCAUCAAAAGCUGACCUGGGAGAUGGGUUUAUUAUUCCACCAGGGUCCUUUGACUCUCUGUUGCAUGAUCGAAGCAUACUUACAGGAUGUUUUCCUACCUCAGCUGAAUUGCACUGCUUUGCUUCAAUAAGCAAAAGACCAGCAGAUACAAGCCAUGCUGCCACAAACACUGACCCAGUUCCAUCUUUUGCUGCUAUUGGAACAAACACAGAAAUUGUGGCCUUGACGAUUCACCAGCCAAUUUCUGCAAUAUCAUAUAAAGAUGCUGAAACUGAAACAGAGCCAUCCACAAAAUUUGGAAAAAGACCCAAGGCUUCAGCGGAGGAAACAGCAUCGCCUGCCAUGCUGCCACCCG